rnacentral:rRNA from 1 species
UACGUAGGGGGCUAGCGUUGUCCGGAUUUAUUGGGCGUAAAGAGCGUGUAGGCGGCCAGGUAGGUCUGGUGUGAAAAACUCGAGGCUUAACCUUGAGAUGUCAUCGGAAACCAUUUGGCUAGAGUCCGGAAGAGGAAAGUGGAAUUCCUGGUGUAGCGGUGAAAUGCGCAGAUAUCAGGAGGAACACCGGUGGCGAAGGCGGAUCUCUGGGCCGAUACUGACGCUGAGGAGCGAAAGCGUGGGGAGCGAACAGG